CUUCUUCAAAGCCCUAAAUGUGUCUCUGCCCUUUCGAAAUUGUAAGUUACACUAGAUCCCUCACUUGUACCGUGUUCACCAUCCAUCCGUCCGCGUUCACCGCCGUGUUCCACCUCUCAAAAAAUGCGUACCAAAUCCUUCCCAUUUCGUUCGUCCGUCCGACUCUCUCCCUGCCACCGCCCUCUCCGAUUCUCUCUCUGCCUCCGUCUUUGACUCUCUCCCUGUUGCCAUGUCUCCAUCUCUCUCGCCUUCCUCUCAAUCUACAUUUUGUUACAUUCUUGUUCUUCUCCGUACGGCUUUCAUUUCUCCAUGUUUCAAUCGAUUAGUUUAUAAUUUUCGUUCAAUUUCUUUGUUCUUAAUAUGAUUUCCACCUCAAUUUUUCUAAGGUUUUUAAUUGUAGCUUGUGAUGUGUCACAUUCCAACCUAAAGAGUUCUUCUUCCUCGUUUGUUUAAAGAAUCCAACUUGCUCUUCUUACUCCUUAGUUAUCUACUGGUGUAAGUAUUUUUUGUUUUUUUUUAUUGAAUCUUUGAGUUUCUACAUUUUGGGAAUUGAAAAUUUUCUUUGUUCUGUUUCUUUCUUUAUUGAAAUCUUUUUUAAUUUUCUUUUUCUUUCUUUGACAUUAUUUCUUAUGUAAAUGUAAUCUUACUUUUUGUUUAUUUGUUAAUUUCAUUUGUAAUGUCUUAUACUCUUCUUGCCUUCUCCUCUUUGGUUUUUAAAUGCCUUACCUUGGCUACUCUCAUUUGGUUUUUGUUCUAGUUUUGUUCUCCAUCUCUGUUUGUUUCCAUGUGUGCUGUCUGUCGCACCUCUUUAAUUUGUGAUAAUUGGAACUUUUUUUGUUCUUGCUUCUUUAUUGGCUGGAUGCUUAGAGUCAAAGACUUGGUUGUGAGGAUUAUUUGAAAACGUGUUCGGAUAAUUACAUUUAUGUCUUGGCCUGGCAAGAUUUAAAAUUCACAUUUUUCUAUCCCCAUGUAUUUCAAUUUGGGCAAGCUUAGUAUUCUAUGUGAAAAUGUCUCCAUUUCACACGAUCCAACUGUAUACAAUAUCUCCAACGAUGGAAACUUAAUCGUACAUUUUCCAUUGUGAAAGCAAGCUAGUCUUGGUAAGGCAUAUAUUUCGAUUUCUUCUAGGUUUUUGAAAACAAUUUCACCAUUUCUUCUUCUCCUUCUUCGGAUGCAACUAUACAUCUCAUUUCUCUUAAGCUUGAUAUUUUGCACCAUAUAUAAAGUUGUUCUCAAUUCUCAAUGUUCAAUCACUGAAGUUAACCAAAUUGCACAGGUGUUUGUUUAGUAUCCAACAUUUCACUGGGCAUUUGAUGAAGAUUUCACGUUUUCUUGUUAAUGAUACAUGCCCUUUUUCUAAUUCAGCUUCAGAUUAUUAUACACACCAUCAAAAUAUUUAGUUUAAAAACAUUUGAUUACUCAUCAGUUUUAGUGUGGUUGCAUGUUUGAAGUUCAUAAAAGUAAUGGUAAUUUUGGUGGAUCAUAACUGAGGAGAUGGACCUAAUAACUGAGACAUACAUUGCUGCUCAUUAUUGUGGUACAAGCCAGCCCAGUUCGAAACUCUAUGCCUAAUUGUAGAAGUUGAAGAGGGAAAGUCGUCUGUCUCAGUGAUGCAAAUAUGCACUCAGGGUUAAAUGUUGCAUGAAAUGUUGCUGUAAAAUGUGCUACAAUCACCCCAGAUGAGGCCAGGGUCAAACAGUUUGGACUUAAAACUAUGUGGAGAAGUCCCAAUGGCACAAUUAUGGAAUAGACUCAUUCUCAUUUAUUGAUUUCGAUAAUUUUUUUUUCAUCCCCAAACCUUUUAUUUUCUAUCAUUACUUUUUAUUUCUAUUUAGUUCCAGAAAAUGGGGAGACAUGAAGAGAGCUUGAGGUUUAAGACUUCAAAGGAUCAGGCAUAGCACUUACAAUUGAUAAUGUGGAUGAGAUUGAUACAUGAAAACCAUACUCACAAUCCGAGUUAGAUGAGUUGCGGGUUGAGUUGGCUGAGUUUUUGGGUUCAUACAUAUGAUCUAGGACUUAUUUGUCAUUCUAAAAUAGGAAACUUUAUUUUUUGUGGCUGAAUUUUUGAAAUGUUCAUAUAGAGGGGGGGAAUGAGGGUUGAUUGAUAUACUUUUGAGACUUUGUUGUGGUUUAGGGUUUAGGUGAAUUGUUCAUAUGUAGGGGGUUGCCAUUAUGAAAUUUUAUGUAUAGGAAUGGUAUACUUUUGGGCUAAGUUAGUUAAUUAGAUGAUGCUUAGUUCAAUUCUUGGAAAUCUGCUGAAAUUGUUUAUAUAUUGGUUUUGUAAAUGAUAUAUGAAUAUGAUGCAAAGUUUUGGAAAUGAUAUGAAUAGAUGAUGUUGAGUUGCCAUUUGAUGAA